AGUGAACGCUGGCGGUAGGCCUAACACAUGCGAGUCGAACGGCAGCACAGUAAGAGCUUGCUCUUACGGGUGGCGAGUGGCGGACGGGUGAGGAAUACAUCGGAAUCUACUUUUUCUUGGGGGAUAACGUAGGGAAACUUACGCUAAUACCGCAUACGACCUACGGGUGAAAGCAGGGGAUCUUCGGACCUUGCGCGAUUGAAUGAGCCGAUGUCGGAUUAGCUAGUUGGCGGGGUAAAGGCCCACCAAGGCGACGAUCCGUAGCUGGUCUGAGAGGAUGAUCAGCCACACUGGAACUGAGACACGGUCCAGACUCCUACGGGAGGCAGCAGUGGGGAAUAUUGGACAAUGGGCGCAAGCCUGAUCCAGCCAUACCGCGUGGGUGAAGAAGGCCUUCGGAUUGUAAAGCCCUUUUGUUGGGAAAGAAAAGCAGCAGGUUAAUACCCCGCUGUUCUGACGGUACCCAAAGAAUAAGCACCGGCUAACUUCGUG
rnacentral:rRNA from 1 species